rnacentral:rRNA from 1 species
UACGUAGGGUGCAAGCGUUGUCCGGAAUUAUUGGGCGUAAAGAGCUCGUAGGCGGUCUGUCGCGUCGGAUGUGAAAAUCCAGGGCUCAACCCUGGACCUGCAUUCGAUACGGGCAGACUAGAGUUCGGUAGGGGGAGACUGGAAUUCCUGGUGUAGCGGUGAAAUGCGCAGAUAUCAGGAGGAACACCGGUGGCGAAGGCGGGUCUCUGGGCCGAUACUGACGCUGAGGAGCGAAAGCGUGGGGAGCGAACAGG